UCAACAAGAAAAAGUUCCAAAUGGGCAAUAGGCACAUGAAAAUAUUAAUAUACAUAAACAUCACAUAUUAAUAAAUUACAGGAUAUAUUAUACAUUCUGUGUAGUACACACACACACACACACACACACCACACACGCACACAUACAAUGUUGGCAGGCCUGGUGGUCCACACCUACAAUCCCAGCAUUUAGGAGAAGAACUCAGGUGAGAAGGACUGCCCAGAUUUCAAGGCUAGCCCAGACUUCACAGCAAGUUCCAGGCUAGCCAGGACAGUCAUGAACACAACAAAAAACAUAUAUCCACAUACAUAUAUGCAGAUAUACGUACUCUGAACCCCCAUUCACUCUACAUCAGUGGCAGUAGACAGACACCCUUCUCAGUCAUGCCUCACACCCUCAGCUAGCUGUGAACAGCCUCAGCUCAGACUGCGGCCUUGUUUUGUCCUGUUCAUGGCAUGGAGAUUAAGCUCAAAUAUCCUUUAAGGCUGCAGAAUAAACACCCCCGGGGUGGCUUAGCUACUGACCCACGUCUGUCCUGGCUCCUGGUCUCUCAGCCCUACAAUGGAGGUUACUGCCCCUUGGGGGAGAAUCUGCCAGCAGGCAGAGCAUCCUGCAGCUGGACCCUUGCGCCUUUCUGUCCAGUGCCACCCAGGACCCACAUUUUGUCCACACCAGCCACUGGGAUGCUGCAGUAGACUACACAAGGAGGUUUUCUGAGGGUCACUGCUGACUUUUCUAGCUGCCCUCCCCACUUUAUGCUUGCAGAUACACCCCAAAGUCCUAAUUACACACAUUGUGGUGGGGGGAAGGAGACUGAGAAGGCCUUUCCCUGAGACCUGGUUAACCUAGCAGGUAGACGGGAGAGCUCAGCUGAGUCCAGGGGCCUGUCCCACACGUCCUUCAAUGUGUAAGUGCACUUGACUCCUGUCUCAGACUGGGGAACUGGAGGUGAGGUCUUGGUACCGCUGUAGCCUCGGUGUGUAACUCCAGUGUGGGCUCGGAGAAGGCACGGUGAGAAACCGUGAAAGCAGGUAGCAAGUAUUCCAACCAAGGCCUUCAGACCUCGAAGGCUGGAUGAAGGCUUUCAACCCAUGUUUGGGCAAGGCUUGGAGGCUCUCUGACUCCAGACUUCUAAAACUGACUCAGGCCCUGGGCAGUUGGAAUGUAACCCCAGGAGAUGCUUGCUAGUAGGAAGCUGGGUGCUGCCAAGUUGAAGGGGGCAAGACCUGAGACCUUACAGCCUGCGAGAAAGUCAAGGAGCCUGUCCAAGGUCACAUAGCCGGGUAAGGGAGAAGGCACAAUCCAAAGGCUGACGUUCAAGCCCCAGAAUUUCACUGUCUCCUUCAGCUAUUAAUAGCAGUCGUCCCACAGCGGAACGCAAUGGCGCAUGCCUGAGCUGGUCUGCCUGGCUCGGCUGUGCGAGCCUCAAGGACGAAGACCAAAGCCCAUUCAUCAGCACUGUCCCAGCACUUGGCACAGGGCCUGGCCUGAGGUCCAGCUUAAUAAAUAUUUGUGCACUAAAUGGUAGCUAAGGGCUGGCUUCCCAUGUCUCAGACCUUGUGUGAUGAAAUGCUCAUCAGACCGUGUUCCUGAGCGCUUCCAGGCAGAACUUCUAAACAGUUGAAAAUGUACAUCCCCUUGACUCAGGGCUCCUUCACCCUGGAGAACUACCUCACAGCGAUGGCCACACAAGAGUCAAAGACAAUAGGCUGUAAUCAGGCUGGCCACCCUCAGGGCCACGGGUCAGCCAGGCAGUGACACAGGAGCCGGCUGGAUAGAAGGCAAGAGCUGUUGAUGGAGUUGGGAAGGGUGUGUCCAGUGUUCAGCAACAGAGAUUGGGGGGCGGGGGGUAGUUUGCACAGCUGUCCCUAGUAUGCAGGACAUUGGUGCAGGUACAUCCUGGGCUUUUAAGAGUACACAUACCCCGAUUGCUCAACAGGUUAGAUAAGGCAAGGCUGGAGAAAUUGGCAGGGAGGCUGGGCUGUGCGUGGUGGCAGGGAGUGGGCAGGAGGUAGGGAGGGGGCAAGAGCCUCGUUUCUCACAGUCUGAGCAAGUCUUUUUCCUCCCAAGGGAAGCACCCAGCUGCUUGGCUUCUUGGGUCACACACUCAUAGACACAGCUGAUGGUUCGACCUUGUGGGGUUGUACAACAAGGAUAGAGACGCGAUGUAGAAAGAGCCAGUGAAGAGAUCAACACAAGAAUGAGGCCCAGAACUGGGCAGGCUGGAGCACACCUUUGACCCAGUAUGCAAGAGGCAGAAGCAGGUGGAUCUCCGAGUUCAAUGUCAGCCUGAUCUACAGAGCAAAUUCCAGGAC